UGGGGAAUAUUGCACAAUGGGGGAAACCCUGAUGCAGCGACGCCGCGUGAACGAAGAAGGUAUUCGUAUCGUAAAGUUCUGUCCUAUGGGAAGAUAAUGACAGUACCAUAGAAGAAAGCUCCGGCUAAAUACGUGCCAGCAGCCUCGGUAAUACGUAUGGAGCGAGCGUUGUCCGGAAUUAUUGGGCGUAAAGGGUACGCAGGCGGUUUAAUAAGUCGAAUGUUAAAGAUCGGGGCUCAACCCCGCAAAGCAUUGGAAACUGAUAAACUUGAGUAGUGGAGAGGAAAGUGGAAUUCCUAGUGUAGUGGUGAAAUACGUAGAUAUUAGGAGGAAUACCAGUAGCGAAGGCGACUUUCUGGACACAAACUGACGCUGAGGUACGAAAGCGUGGGGAGCAAACAGG
rnacentral:rRNA from 1 species